CUGACGGUGAAGUGGUUGAUGCCAUGCUUCCAGGAAAAGCCUCUAAGCUUCAGGUAACGAAAGACCGUACCCCAAACCGACACAGGUGGUCAGGUAGAGAAUACCAAGGCGCUUGAGAGAACUCGGGUGAAGGAACUAGGCAAAAUGGUACCGUAACUUCGGGAGAAGGUACGCCGCUUUGGGUGAAGGGACUUGCUCCUGGAGCCUGGGGUGGUCGAAGUGACCAGGUGGCUGCGACUGUUUAUUAAAAACACAGCACUCUGCAAACACGAAAGUGGACGUAUAGGGUGUGACGCCUGCCCGGUGCCGGAAGGUUAAUUGAUGGGGUCAGCGAAAGCGAAGCUCUUGAUCGAAGCCUCGGUAAACGGCGGCCGUAACAAUAACGGUCCUAAGGUAGCGAAAUUCCUUGUCGGGUAAGUUCCGACCUGCACGAAUGGCGUAACGAUGGCCACACUGUCUCCACCCGAGACUCAGUGAAAAUGAAAUCGCUGUGAAGAUGCAGUGUACCCGCGGCUAGACGGAAAGACCCCGUGAACCUUUACUACAGCUUUGCACUGAACUUUGAACCUGUUUGUGUAGGAUAGGUGGGAGGCUUUGAAGCGUGGACGCCAGUCUGCGUGGAGCCAACCUUGAAAUACCACCCUGACAGUUUUGGGGUUCUAACCCAGGUCCGUCAUCCGGAUCGGGGACAGUGUAUGGUGGGUAGUUUGACUGGGGCGGUCUCCUCCCAAAGAGUAACGGAGGAGCACGAAGGUACCCUCAGCGUGGUCGGAAAUCACGCUUUUGAGUGCAAAGGCAUAAGGGUGCUUGACUGCGAGAUCGACGGAUCGAGCAGGUGCGAAAGCAGGUCUUAGUGAUCCGGUGGUUCUGCAUGGAAGGGCCAUCGCUCAACGGAUAAAAGGUACUCCGGGGAUAACAGGCUGAUACCGCCCAAGAGUUCAUAUCGAUGGCGGUGUUUGGCACCUCGAUGUCGGCUCAUCACAUCCUGGGGCUGAAGCAGGUCCCAAGGGUAUGGCUGUUCGCCAUUUAAAGUGGUACGCGAGCUGGGUUUAGAACGUCGUGAGACAGUUCGGUCCCUAUCUGCCGUGGGCGUUGGAGAUUUGAGGAAAGCUGCUCCUAGUACGAGAGGACCGGAGUGGACGAACCUCUGGUGUUCGGGUUGUCACGCCAGUGGCAUUGCCCGGUAGCUACGUUCGGACGGGAUAACCGCUGAAAGCAUCUAAGCGGGAAGCCUCUUCCAAGAUGAGAUCUCCCCGGGGACUCGAUCCCCCUGAAGGGCUGUUCAAGACCAGGACGUUGAUAGGCGGGGUGUGUAAGCGCUGUGAGGCGUUGAGCUAACCCGUACUAAUUGCCCGUGCGGCUUGACC
rnacentral:rRNA from 1 species